rnacentral:lncRNA from 1 species
AGGCAGCCACCCCCGUGGGCACACGCCCAGGAGCUGUUCCUGCCCCGCGCUCCCUCCCUCCACCUUUCACUUCCCAGCCGCAAACAUCUCGGAAGCUUUGAAACUCAGCAAAGAAGGGAAAUCCACUGAGAACAGUCUGUUAAGGAUCUCUGUUGCCGUAUUGAUUUUCUGUCUAGAGGACCUGUCCAUUGAU